AUUGAGUAAUUUUAAAUACCCUUGCUUAGUUGCCUUGAUUUAUCGUCGAGUACUCCACUUCUCUCUUCUUCUUCUUUUUGGCUUGAAAAAUUCCCAGAAAAAUGGAGAAAAAGGUGAAAGCCCUACUUGAUACCAUCAGUUUUCUUGUAUUUCUUUUCUUCGACUUUGUUGAUGUUGUUCUUUGUGUGGCAUACGAAUUACUCGAUAAGUUGUUUGAAGCUAAACCCUUUCCAUGUUAUUGCGGGAAAAAGUUGGAGACGAAGGAAUUGUCAGAGACCUUGUUUUGGAGGAAAAACGUUUUCCGGGAAAUGGGUUUCCUUAGUUUUGGGAGAAAAUAUGUGAAGCUGUAAAGAAAAGAGAUGAUGGAAAUAGAGGAGAGGUGGUGAAUAGGUGGUCAGAUUGUGGAUGUGAUUCCUGUGUUUCUUGGAUGAAGAAAAGUAAUCAGAAGCUUCAUGUCGUUGUUAAAGAGUUUCCACAAGUAAACAGUGAGGAUGGUCCAAGAGAAGAGGCAACUACUGAAAAUGUGAUAUUCUUACAUGGAUUCCUUUCUUCUUCUUCAUAUUGGACGCGGUCAGUUUUCAAGUAUCUAUCUGAGCCUCUAAACCAUCAAAUCUACAGAUAUUUUGCAGUUGAUCUACUGGGAUUUGGGAAGAGUCCAAAGCCAAAUGAUUGUUUAUAUACUUUAAAUGAUCAUGUGGAGAUGAUUCACAAAUCUGUAAUCUCUGCAUAUGAGUUGAGCUCUUUCCAUUUGGUGGCACAUUCCAUGGGUUGCAAUAUUGCUUUGGCAUUAGCUGCAAAGUACCCAAAGUUUGUCAAAUCAGUCACUCUUGUUGCACCUCCUUACUUUUCUGAUUCAAAUGAUGAAACAAGUUCUUCAAUGGCGCUCAACACAGUUGCUAGAAAAACACUAUGGCCACCACUAGCAUUUGGUAAAUCAGUUAUGACAUGGUACGAACAUGUGGGAAGAUUUUUUUGCUUCCUUAUUUGCAAGAACCAUACCACAUGGGAGAGGAUUUUCAAGCUAUUCACUCAAACAAGGGAACUCAACUUCAUGGUAGUAGAUUUAACAAGGCACACCCAUCAUUCAGCAUGGCAUAGCAUGCACAAUGUGAUAUGUGGAGGAUCAAAGUUUAUGGAUGAUUAUGUGGGAAUUUUGAUUAAUGCCAAAGUAAAGGUUUGGGUCAUCCAUGGUGAUCAAGAUCUGACUGUUCCAUUAGACUGCAGCAACAACUUGAAGAUGAAAUUCCCUCAACUGAAACUCAUCAUUGUUCAAAACGUUGAUCAUGGGACUGUCAUUUUUCAUAGAAAGAGGGACUUUGUUAAGAGUUUACAACAUAUUUGGGCAACAUCUUAAAUAUGGUAAAUCAUCAUUUUAAAAUACAAUUAUCUAUUAGAUUUGGUGCA